rnacentral:lncRNA from 1 species
UGGCCCCGUCGCGUCGCUAAGUUCUGCAUCUGAGAGGGAGAGAGGAAGAGAGAGAGCAUGGGAUCCUGUAUGUAAUGCCUGGUCUGGAGUCCGAACUGGUAGUAGUCUGUAGCGUCGAUUGAUCUUGAAUCACUGCUGAAUUGAAGCUGGAAACUCGAUCGUUUAGCCAAUUCCAAUCUUCUCCGUGUCAAUCUCGCUAUUUUUUGCUGGUUCUUGAAGUCGCCUCGAUCCCCUUGUUCGUCUGCACAUUUGUUCGCACAAUUUCACUCGGUUAGGUGUUCUUGGGGGCGAUUUGGCAAUAACUAGGUUCAGCGGGGUGCGGUUGGUGAAAUUUUGUGGGGGUUAACCGAUCUGAGGGGAAGGGGAUCUGGGGAUUAUUUCUAGGGUUCGUCGGCGAUGCUCAAUUGGGGGAGAAAGGCUGCGCUCCAUGCUAGGGUUCCUGUGGGGAAGAUGCUGGAUCGGACCGCCGGUUUCUCGUCAGGCUCCAAACUGUUCGUCGGAGGUAAGAUUCGUCGACCCCAUUCUCGUGUUCGGUUUGGGAAUUUGUUUGGUGCUUGGACCCCAAUUUGCUUACAAACUUAGGAAGAUCAUGCUAGUUCCUCAAUCAUCCUGCUUGAUCUGUCUAAUCUGAACAAACUGUAAGUGCUAGGAGAAAUCUGUUUGAACAUCGCACAAUGCAAGAAUGCUGCUGACUUAUGGUUCAGGGUGCCUGGGGUUCAGUUUCCGGUCAAUCUGAUUGAUGCCUGAACCUGAACCUCUUCUCCGUUGGAGACCUGCCAGAUUUAUCUCGGUCAUGCUAGUUUCUCAAUCAUCCUGCUUGCUGAUUUUGCUGCUAGCACAAUGUAUUUAUUCCGUCCAGUGAAAUUCCGCGCAAGCAGCGAGUUCAAUCUUAAAUAAAUGUAAAUGUUAGGAAGUACGCAUCUGUGUGAACAUUGAACAACUGCAGGAACCGUGCUUGACGUGUGAAUGGUUCAGGAUGUUUUGAUGCCCUGCUGUUUCUUCCACCGAGUUUUUCAGGCCUGUCAUACGACACCAACGAAGUUGCUCUCAAGGACGCGUUCUCUCAGCACGGCGAUGUUAUCCAAGGUACAAAUCUAUCUGUUCUGAAUCUUUUUGCUGAUUAGGGGAUUGUCCUUGGACUGAUCAAUGCGCCUGACAGUCAAAGUGAUGUGCCAUCCCGUGACCGGGCAAUCAAAAGGGUACGGUUUCGUCAAGUUCUCCUCGGAAAAAGAAGCAGCUGCGGCAUUGGAGAAGAUGAGCGACGAGGUAGGAAUUGUGCUUCAUGGAUUCUGUAGGUAUAGCAGAAGAAGCCAAGUUCCUGCAAGAUAAUAUGCAGUGCUCAGUGCAGUUCUUUUACUUAUGCUGACACAUUGUUCCCACAUGAUGAUUGUUACAGGUGCUCGAUGGGAAGAACAUACGGGUGCAUUUCGCAAACAGUGGAUGACCUGCUACUGCUGCUACAGAUGAGCAAGGUACUUAUCCGGUCUUUGUUUGUUGUGUUCAGAAUUUGUAAUGUUAGAUGGCGCCCUGGACAUGUACCUUUGUAUGAUCACCAGUACAUAUUUCAAGCUCAGUCUUACGACCAACGUCAAAUAGACCAGUCUUCUGAUUUUUUAGCUUGACAUUGCCUGUAUCAUUCUGAUUUUUGAUUACUGAAAACCAGAGGAACACCUGACUGGUUAGCUAUUUCUCUUCGACUAAGACAGGAAGUUAAUUCAUUGUUUUUCUAAUUUUAGGUCCACAUUAGCGCUGGUUUGGGAACAAUUUCUGCUCUCAUCUUAAAACUUGAAUAUGGCAAGUCCGAUGGAAACCAGCUAUCCAUCCAGAAGCGUAUUAUGUAUGUUGUGGCAAGCAUGGCAUGUUAUUUCCAUCCAGAAUGCCAAUGGGUCUGUAAACUAGAGCUUAUUUUUGGGAGUUUUAUUUUAAAGGCAGCUGUAAAAUUUGAGCUUAAUUUGGGAAAAUUUACCGACAUGAGAGUUGCAUUUCUUCAAACACACAUGAUUCACUACGGAACAUCUCAUAUUUAGCUCAAUGAGCCAGGCAUAUAGCACAAGGGAGCUGUUAAAGGAAUUCCUUAUUUAUCUGGACUACUUAUUUCAAGGCUUAAGAAUUUAUAUGAGCAGUAGCUCAACUAGUGUAGGCAUAACAUGUUAACUGGUCAGAACUCUGAAUUAAUUACUGGUUACCAGAGCUAGAUUUACCAGGCAUCUGUUUUAAUUCGAACACCCGAAGGACGGAUUCCAUGUUUCAUUUGGCAUGGAACACACAACUAUGAGGAACAAUAUCGUACAUUGGGUAUAUGACAUUAAUAGGUAAAUGAGGAAAUAACUGAGAGCAAUAUGCUUCUGGGCUCUGGCAGACACGAGACGAAAUUCGUUUCUAACAGGCUAUGGUGUUGUGUAACUGCACUGUUGUACUAGAGCUAUAUAUAUGGAUCAAACAAUCACUCAUAGAAAAAGUCCUCAAAUAAUUUAUAUUACAUUUUUUUUGUUAUCUCAAAAAGUAUAUCACUGUCAUUGAACAAGACAGGAUGUGCAGAGUGAGCCCCUGGCUGUGAGGACAUGACAACCGACGAUAUGUAUCUGGAAUGGAAAGCACAGUUCAAAAUGGAAAGGCAUUUCGUGUGAAGCUUCUGAGGGAAGCGCACAUCUGAACCUUCAUUCGAGGUUGCCUGCUCACUCUGGAAUUUAUGCUUUUCCUACAGCUAGCUGUCUCAUGUAAAUGCAUCAGGAAGAAAUGCCGUGCUGCUAGCUAGCCAUGUUCAAACCGAGAUUGUUUCAAGGCUAACCUUGCACCACCCACAUAUAUGUACAUAUAUGUUGGGCUGUAUAUGUGUGAAUCUGGCCCACAUGGCCCAUGUAAACCAGUAUAUGUAUUGUAUAGACUAGAGAGGAAGAGAGUUAUCCAGAAAUUUCCCAAACCCACCACACUUCAUGGUGUCAGAGCACAGGCGGGAGGCGAUGCUGGGUUCUGUAGGUCGCCGGCGGUGAAUCGGCAGCGUGGGGCGGAGCUCCGGGCACCCAGGGUGGUUGUUGGCGCGCGUGUGCUGCGCGGGGCACUGGAGGCGGGACCGGCGGCGGUAGAGGCGCGCCUGGAGAGGGCCGGCGGGCGCGGCUGCGUGCGAGCGCGCGGGCUGCCUGCGGAGCGCCUGGAGGGGAUUGGAGGCUACAGGCGGCACUGCUCUCUCCCGUGAAGAGGUGCGCGCGCGCGAAGUGCUCCUGGUGCCGCGGGUGCUACUGUGUGUGGCAGAGGGCAGAGGAAGGAGGCGGCUGCGCCAGGGGAGAGGCCAAGUACUGGCUGGUUUGCUGCUUGUGCGGCUGGCUUGCUGCUGCUGGAGAAAGACUGAGAACAGUCUGCAGUUGCUGCUGCUUGCUGUUGGUGCGGCAGAGGGUGCUCUUUGCACUGCUGCUGCUUGUGGCUGCUGUGUGCUGGAACUGCUGUUGUUUGCAGAGGAGAAGGAGGAAGAUGCUGUUGUUGCUGCUUGCAAGUGCUGCUGCUGACUCUGUUGCUGCUGGUGGUGUACUACAGUGGAGUUAGCAGAGAAGAGGAGGUAAGAGCUCCUGGAUUGAUUUGGUGCUGCUGUGUGAGGGGCUGCUAGAUAGCGUACUGAGGAAGAAGGAAAGUUCUUGCCUGCUGUGAUUGAGGCAAGACAUGGGAGAAAAUCAGGGACUCGAGAAGGCAAUUGAAAAAUUGGCUGAGCUCCUAACAGCCAAGGUAGGAGCUGCAGCAUCUCUAAAUAAUGCAAUUGUUCCUCACAUUGAGCCAAUUCAGAAAAUUGACUUGAUGCCAAAUGAAAUUAAGAUGGAAGGUGUUAAGAAUUAUUUGAGCUGGUCAAGAAGGGCGCUACUCAUCUUGAGGACUAAAGGGCUUGAGGGCUUUGUCAGUGGUGAGGCAGAGGAGCCGGGAGACAAGAAAACUUCAGAAUGGAGGACAUGGAGCAGUACCAACUCUUUGAUAGUGGCAUGGUUGUUGAACUCCUUGUCUCCAACCAUUGCCGCAACUGUUGAGACUAUCUCAACUGCUACUGAGGUAUGGAAAACCCUCUCAAAACUGUACUCAGGUGAAGGGAAUGUGAUGUUAAUAGCUGAAACAGAGGAGAGAGUUGGUGAACUCAGACAAGGGGAAAAUUCUGUGAUGGAGUAUGUUGCUGAACUGCAGCGUUUGUGGGCUGAUUUAGAUCACUAUGAUCCUCUGGAUUUGCCACAUGCAGAUUGCAUAGCAGCUGCUAGAAAAUGGAUUGAACGCAGACGAGUGAUGCAGUUUCUCAAAGGAUUGAACUCUGAAUUUGAGGCGAGACGUGCUACUUUAUUUCAUCAACCUACUCUACCUGCCUUAGAGGAUGCCAUAGCAGCAAUGGCACAGGAGGAGGUCCGAUUAAAGUUGAUGAAGAACAAUACAACGACUCCAUCUCAUCCAGCCUUCAUAGCAACCGACUAUAAGAGCAGAGAGUGCUUCAACUGCGGUGAGAAGGGUCAUUUGAUUCGUUCUUGCACGGCUCCACGUAGGAACAUGCGUGGAAGGGGGAGAGGAUAUAACCGAGGUGGAUUAAGGGGAGGCCGAGGCCGGGGAUACUCUGGUGGUCAAAGGGCAAAUGUGGCAGUCUCAGAAGAAGGAUCCUCACUCGCAACCCAAGAAGAAUCAAAGAAAAGAACAGAAAGCACAGGUGAUAAGGAUCAUGAGGAUUUUAGUUACGGCAACUUUGCUCACUUUGUAUCUACAGAUGAAGGUAAUUGUGCUCAUGCAUCUAUUCUCUCACAAAGAUCACAUCCUGAUUGGAUAUUAGAUUCGGGGGCAUCAAAGCAUGUUGCCGGCACAUCAAUGGAAUUUGAGUCAUAUAUUCCAUAUCCACCCACAUGUAAGGAGACUAUCCAAACUGCUGAUGGCACCUCACAACCCAUUAAAGGCAUUGGCACAAUACAAUGCACACCAUCUAUUAAACUUUCAUCUGUUUUGCAUGUUCCUGCCUUUCCAGUCAAUCUUAUGUCAAUGAGUGCUUUGGUUGACGAUGUGGAUUGUCGAGUAAUAGUUGACCGCUAUUUAUGUCUAAUUCAGGAGAGGCAAACGGGGAAGAGGCUUGGGACUGGAACCAGGCGUAAUGGGCUAUGGUACAUGGAUCGCGGGGUGCCAAAUAAUGCGGUGUCUACGAUGUUAGCAACAAUGAUGGGAGAAAAGGAAACAAAGGUAAUGCUUCACCAUUGUAGAAUGGGACAUAUGUCUUUUGAGAAGAUGAGUAAAGUCUUUCCCGAUGUAAUGUGUGGGGUGGAUAAGAACAAGCUUGUGUGUGAUGCAUGUGAGUUUGCUAAACACACAAGGACAUCUUAUGUGAGUAAGGGUCUUAGGAGUAUUUCCCCUUUUAUGCUUGUUCACUCAGAUGUGUGGACAUGUCCUGUUAUCUCUCUAAGUGGAAUGAAGUACUUUGUUACAUUCAUUGAUUGCUAUACUCGUAUGACAUGGGUGUAUCUUAUGAAGCAUAAGGAUGAGGUUUUUAAAUGCUUUCAGUAUUUCUAUGCUUAUGUGAAAAAUCAGUUCAAUACACAAAUACAGAUGAUCAGGACAGAUAAUGGGACAGAGUAUGUGAAUAAGGAGUUUGUCACAUUCCUAUCAAGUCAAGGUAUAUUGCACCAAACAUCUUGUCCGGGUACACCACCUCAAAACGGAGUAGCUGAGAGGAAGAAUCGCCAUAUUUUGGAGGUUGCUCGGUCACUAAUGUAUACAAUGAACGUGCCAAAAUUCUUGUGGAGUGAGGCUGUAAUGACAGCUACAUUCCUCAUCAACCGGAUGCCGUCAAGGGUGAUUGGAAUGAAGUCGCCAUGUGAGAUGUUACUAGGUGAGAACAAAUUCUUAGUUCCUCCUAAGGUAUUUGGAUGCACCUGCUUUGUCCGGGAUCAUAGACCCUCUGUGGGAAAACUGGAUCCACGAGCAGUAAAGUGCAUCUUCAUAGGUUACCCAUCUGGUCAGAAGGGAUACAAGUGUUGGAGUCCCAGCGAGCGGAGAACAUUUGUGAGCAUGGAUGUGACAUUCAGGGAGUCUGAACCGUUUUAUGGAGAAAAAACGGAUCUCAGCUCGUUAUUUGACUUCGACUCUCCUAGCAUGAGUGGUGCUAGUCGAGAGGGCGGGAGUGAACCACCAAGGACAAAGGAAGAUGAACCACCAAGAGUUGUGGUUAGUUCAAUUCCAUGUCAUGCAAGGGAAGAGAGAUGGAGAAAGCCAAAUGAGGAAGAAAAUCUAAGGGUGUAUACCAGGAGGCAACCUAUGACUGAAGAGAAAUGGAGAAAGCCAAAUGAGGAAGAAAAUUUAAGGGUCUAUACCAGGAGGCAACUACAAGAUGAGCAGCAACAACAACAAUCUCCAAUAGCAAGUGACACACAUGUGCAGGGGGAGCAACAGGCUCCAACAAGUGUUAAAAUUGUUGAAUUGUCUGAUGGUGAGACAUGUGCCACUCCAACUCCAUCUAAUGUAAACGAUUCAAUGAACUUGCCUAUUGCCUGGAGGAAAGGAACCCGAGUUGGAGCUGGAAAACCUCCAGAGAGGUAUGGUUUUGAGCAUGACAUAGCUAAUUACGUAUCAUAUACAUCUCUGUCUCCGAGAUACAAAGCAUUCAUUGCAUCAUUGCAAUCUGUAGUGACUCCAAGAGAUUGGAAAAUGGCAAAGCAGGAUCCAAAGUGGUACGAGGCAAUGUUGGAGGAAAUGAGAGCACUUGAAAAGAACAAGACAUGGGAUAUUGUACCUCUUCCAGCAGGAAAACGACCGGUUAGCUGUAAAUGGGUGUAUACUGUGAAGCAGACUCCUGAAGGAAGGGUAGAAAGAUACAAGGCAAGGUUAGUGGCUAGGGGCUAUAGUCAGACAUACGGGAUUGAUUAUGAUGAGACUUUUGCACCUGUCGCAAAGAUGGGCACAGUGAGAACCUUAAUUUCUUGUGCCACUAACUUUGGUUGGGCUUUGCAUCAGUUAGAUGUAAAGAAUGCAUUCCUGCAUGGUGAUUUACAUGAGGAAGUUUACAUGGAGAUUCCACCUGGUUUCUCAAAGCCCGAGACAUCAAGAAAGGUAUGCAAGUUAAGGAAGUCUUUGUAUGGCCUCAAACAGUCUCCACGAGCAUGGUUUGAUAGAUUCAGACGUGCUGUGUGCAAUAUGGGAUAUAAACAGUGCAAUGGGGAUCAUACAGUAUUCUACCGACACUCAAAUUGUCAGAUUACAAUCCUUGCGGUGUAUGUGGAUGAUAUUAUAAUCACCGGAGAUGAUGAUGUGGAAAUAUCACGACUGAAGAAGAGCCUGAGCAAGGAGUUUGAGGUAAAGGAUUUAGGCCAACUGAAGUACUUUCUUGGUAUAGAAAUUGCUAGAUCCCCUAAAGGAAUUGUUCUGUCACAACGGAAGUAUGCUCUCGACUUGCUUAGUGAUACAGGCAUGCUUGGGUGUAGGCCUGCUUCAACACCUAUUGACCAGAAUCAUAAGUUAUGUGCUGAAUCUGGGGAACCAGUGGAUAAGGAGAAGUACCAGAGACUUGUUGGAAAGCUCAUCUACCUAUGUCAUACACGACCCGAUAUCUCAUAUGCAGUGAGUGUGGUGAGCAGAUACAUGCAUGAUCCUAGGAGUGGACACUUAGAGGCUGUCUAUCGAAUCCUCCGAUAUCUGAAGGGUAAUCCAGGAAGGGGGCUAUGGUUUAAGAAGAAUGGGCAUCUUAAUAUAGAUGGAUACUGUGAUGCAGACUGGGGAAGUUGUUUGGAUGACAGAAGAUCAACUUCUGGUUAUUGUGUGUUUGUUGGGGGAAACUUGGUGUCAUGGCGAAGUAAGAAGCAGCCAGUGGUGUCCAAAUCAACAGCUGAAGCUGAAUAUAGAGCUAUUUCACAAGGCUUGAGUGAGAUGUUAUGGGUAAGAAAUCUUCUCUCUGAGUUAAAGGUAAUAAGGAAGGAUCCCCUAAGGUUAUGGUGUGAUAAUAAAUCAGCUAUCAGCAUUGCUAAUAAUCCAGUUCAGCAUGACAGAACCAAGCAUGUCGAGAUAGACCGCUUCUUCAUCAAGGAGAAGUUAGAUGAUGGCAUAAUCAGGAUAAGUUAUGUGAGCUCUAGAGAACAAGUGGCUGAUUGUUUAACUAAGGGUUUAAGUGUCAAGGAGUGUAAUUCUGCGUGUGACAAGAUGGGAAUGAUAGAUAUCUAUCACCCAUCUUGAGGGGGAGUGUUGGGCUGUAUAUGUGUGAAUCUGGCCCACAUGGCCCAUGUAAACCAGUAUAUGUAUUGUAUAGACUAGAGAGGAAGAGAGUUAUCCAGAAAUUUCCCAAACCCACCACACUUCAUGUGCUGAUUUAGUACAACUUUGUGCUAAAUCAGCAACAAUUAAUAUGGAUCGGAGGGAGUAUCCUUUUUCUUCAUCUUUGGCUCUCUCACAGUCGCGGAGGAUAUUGGCUGCUUGGUGAAACCGUCUUCACAAAAUGGCCAUGCGAUAAGUAGCUUUGAUUUUGCCCCCAAUAGUUAUUUAGUUAAUAAACCUAGUGCAGCAUGAUUCGUCUUGUACAUGCUCCACUUCUCAUCUAGAAUGGCAUGCUGAUCUAAACGCAGCCAGCCAGCUUUGAGGAAACUGUUUCGAAGAUGAUCUGUCACGUCUUUCUGAACUUUGGUGAAAUUCUUAAACUAAUUAGAAUUUAGAAGUAUCAUUUACAUGUCUUUAGCCUGAAACAAUUAUAUUUAUAUAUAACUGUCCAUGCCGCCGAGGAGUAGAUAGGGCCCCGUCGUGUAGCUUAUUAGUUCUAUAAUAUCUGAGAGAGAGAGAGAGAGAGAAAAGAGAAAGGGGUGGAUGGAUCCUGUAUGUAUCUUUGGAGUCCAAACUGGUAGUAAUCUGUAGUUUCGAUUGAUCUUGAAUCAUUGCUGAAUUGAAGCUGAAAAACUUGAUCGAAUAGCCAAUUCCAAUCUCCGUCGUGUGUAUCUUUCGUUUGGAUGUCUUGUUAUGUUGAUCCUUUUGCUUGUUCUUGAUCUUGAUGCCCAUGUGAACGAUCUUCUCUUGCUGCAAUGUUUCAGCUUUUUUUUUGAAACGAAUGUUUCAGGCAGUUUCACUUGAUUAGCCGUUCUUGAGGGGCAAUCUUGGAAUUGCUUGAUUUAGCAGGGCGCGAAUCGUGAAAUUUUUGUGUAGCGAGUGAUCUGAUUUGGGGGAAGGGGAUCAGAGAGGUCUACCAAUUUGGGGAAAAUUUCUAGGGUCGUAGCAUAGGAGAUGCUCAAUUGGGCAAGCAAGGCUGAGCUACAUGCCAGGGUUCCUCUGGGCAAGCUGCUGGAUCGGGGCGCCACUUUCUCCUCAGGCUCCAAGUUGUUCGUCGGAGGUAUGAUUUGUACAUUUCAUUCUCCUCUGGUGUUCAGUUCCUAGUCAAUUCGUUUGGUGGUUGCACCCCAAUCUCUCCUAUGUUGAGCUGAUGCCAAUUUGAGAAUCUGCUUAGGAAGAGGGGAUUCAUGCUUGGAACAACCCUGUUAGUUAACAAUGAGCACGUCCUGCGUAUUUGCGAAAGAUAAAGGACAUUGAGCUAUCCGAGAAAUGUGCUGACUUAUGAGUGGUUGAGGAUGUUCUGAUGCCCUGCUGUUUCUUCCACUGAGUUUUUCAGGUCUGUCCUACAACUCGAAUUAAGUUGCUCUCAAGGACGCCUUCUCUCAGCAUGGCGAUGUUAUCCAAGGUACAAAUUUAUCUGUUCUGAAUCUUUAUGCGGUUGUACCUGUGAUUUGUGUGGACUAGGGGAUUGUCCUCUGAUUGGCCAAUGUGCCUUACAGUGAAAGUAAUAUGCCAUCCUGUCACGGGGAGAUCCAAAGGGUACGUCUUGGUCAAGUUCUCUUCAGAAACUGAAGCAGCCGCGGCGUUGGAGAAGAUGAGUGACGAGGUAAAAAUAAAAUGUGCUCGGUUGGUCUGUUGGUACAGCAGAAGAAGCCAUGUUCUCACAGGAUGAUAUGCUCUCUUGUUUCAGGUGCUUGAUGGAAAGAAAAUACGGGUGGAUUAUGCAAACAGCGGACAAUCUGCUGCUGUUUCUGUUGCUGCAGAUGAGUAAGGUGCCUAUCCGGAAUCUGUAACUGUUUCACUGUAAGGCACAUGUACUCUGUAUAUUUACAUAAUCACCAGUAUAUAUUUUAAGUUCAGUCUUAUGACCAACUUCAAAUAGACCGGUGGUCUGAUUUGUUUAGCUUUACAUUGCCUGUAGCAUUGUGAUUAUUGAUAACUUAAAUCACAGAAGAACGCCUGACAGCUAAUUCUGUUAUACCAAGACACAAAAUUCAUUCAUCGACCUUAUUUUUUAUUUGAGGUCAACAUUAGCCAUGGUCUAGGAAAAGUGUUGGGUUAGAAAAUCAAUUUUAUUGCAUGUUACAGUGUUGGGUUUACAUGGGAAAUGAAGUGUUUGUUGUGCCCAGAAUCUGUAAUGUCGAUGGAGCCCUGCUCUGGACAUGCAUGCACUCUGUACAUUUGAAUGAUCGUUUAACUUGGCAUUGGCUGUAGCAUUCUGCCUAUUGCUAACUGAAAAGAACAGAGCAACACCUAAUCGGUGGUGAAUUCUCUUUCAUUAAGACACAUAAUUAAUUCGAUUCCUUUUGUUUUAGAUCAACAUUAACGCUGGUUUUGGAAACAAUUCAUGCCCCUGAUCUUAAAACCUGAGAACUUGCGUUCGCUUCUGUUAUAAUGCAGAAAUAUCAUCCAGAAGUGUAUAAUGUUGCAGCAAAGGUUGGCAGACAUAUCGUAACUAUCGGGUGUGGGAAGGAGUUUGUAAAUUGGAGCUAUUUUUUUUUUGGCAAUUUUACUUAAAGGACACUUGUAAAUUUGAGCUUAGUUUGGCAAAUUUGACCAACAUGAGAGUUGCAUUUCUUCAAACGCACAUGAUUCAGCAUGAAGCAUCUCAUAUUUAGAUCAAUGAGCCAAACAUAUAACACAAGGGAGCUGGAAAAGGAGUUCCUGAUUUAUCUGCACUACUUCUUUCAAAGCUUUAAAUUUAUAUGAGCUGUAACUCAACGAGUGCAGGUAUAACACAAGACUACUACUUCACACACUCAAGGAAAUGACAAGCCGCCAGACAGUCAUUCAUCAAGCUGCAUCUGAAUUUUCUAGGCCCUUUACAAUGUACUCCCUCUGUCCCAAAAUUAGUACAUCGAGUCACUUAUUUUGGGACGGAGGGAGUAAGUAGCAUAAGGAUUCCUGUACAAUAAUGAUGCCAUAUUUGCACCACUGCAUAUUACUUAGAAUUGUUGAGAACCAUGCUGACGCUGAGUGCCCUAAUUAGCGGCACUUUUACUUUUGGCAGGCUGUCACCUCCUUAUGCUGAUUCUUGUCUGAUUUCCUCCAUUAAAGAAAAAAACACACUAAACCUGAGAUCGUAGCACUCUCCACAACACGUCAGAAUUCCGAAUUAAUUACUACUUGCAAAGAGGUACUCCCUCCGUCCGUCCGAAAAUACUUGUCGGAGAAAUAGAUAAAAAUGGAUGUAUCUAGAAUUAAAAUGCGUCUACAUACAUCCAUUUCUCCGACAAGUAUUUCCGGACGGAGAAAGUAGUAUCUAUUUAAAUUCUUAUACCGUAGUUAUUUUUCCUCCAAAUGUCUGAAUCCAUAACCGAAUCCAGAAGUCAUUCAGCCAGAAAAGAUGUACUCCCUCUAUCCCAUAAUAUAAGAGUGUUUUUUACACUACGGAGGGAGUACGUAAUAGGUACUGGUUAGUAAAAUACAAAAUACUCAGAUAUGGGCAAUGAAAGCUGUUGACAACAGGAUACGAUGCUUGACUAAUCUCAGCUAUUCACUGAAAUGCAUGUAUGUUAUGUCAUACACCGCAGAAGCUUUUCUUCAUUCUGAACAAACUGCAACUAGACCUGAGUGGCUGAGUUGGAAGCUAACAUGAUCCAUCAUAGGCAUGAGGCCUUUAUCCGAGGGACACAUACGGGGCUCCAUUUGGCAUAAGCAUUCUUUCACAAAGGGAACCAUCUGUAGUUGCCCCCAAAGGUUAGAAUUGUUAGAUGUGUAUAGUUACUUGUGUACAUCCCCAUUAUACCAAAAAAGGCUUUCGCCCCGCUUUAUAUAUAAAGCAACAACCUACAAGCAUCCAGUACAACCACACGCUACGCCACCGCAACACACGCACACACCCAGGACGGGAUACAAAGGCGCUGAGCGCAGCAACACUACUCCUACCACUACCGCCCCGAAGAUAUGAAGCUACAUAUGACGAACCAUGCGUUCCAAGGCGGCGCCUUCAGGAAGGAAACGACGCCGGAGCGCCGCCACCGCCCGAUCCAAGGAUCAGAGUUUCCCCCGGAGCCGCAUGACGGGCAAUGAGAGCCGCGACGACGCCUUCAAGAAGGGAGCGAUCAUUGCCGCCGCCGGUCCGUCCGAAGAUAGAGCAGGUUUUCACCUCGGCCAACAUUCACCGCCACCGAACGCCACACCCCGGCAACCACGCCGCCCACACGGCCAUGAUGAGCGGGCAGCACCAAGGUGCGGGCUUUGUCCAAGAGCACCGCGCCACCACCACCACCAGGGCCGCCGCCCCAUCAUCCAAGACCUCGACACCAUCUCACCCGUGACCCGGCGCACCCCAACGAAAGAGACGAGCGGAAAGGUCCCACCUUUCGCGCCCCUGGGCAACCCCCCAGCGUCGAGACCCAAUAGGUCGGCCAGAAUCGGCAUCCACCGACCCAUCCUGCUACCCCAAGCGCGAGAUGAGCUUGGUCCUGCAGCAUCGUGCGCGAGACGAGCUCGGUCCUGCUGCAUCGGCCGCGAGACGAGCUUGGUCCUGCUGCAUCGUGCGCGAGACAAGCCCAGUCCUGCUGCAUCAUGCGCGAGACGAGCUUGGUCCUGUCGCAUCGUGCGCGAGACGAGCUCUGUCCUGCGGCAUCAGGCGCGAGACGAGCGGUGGAUCGCAGCUGGGAAAGGACUAGCCCUUUGAUGGGAGUAACGCCCGGGCGACAAGGAGAUGGGGUGAAGGACGAGACGGCCCGAACGCAGACAAACCGACGCCGGAGGAGCCGGCCGUUGCCGUGGACAGAUCCGUCGAGACACCGUGAAGCCGCCACGACACCUGUAGGCCACAGAGACCUACCCAUGUCGCCGCCCACGGCCGGAGCAGCAGCCACGCCCGGCCGCUGCCCUACCUGCGUCGCCCGGCGGGCUCCAAGCGCCGGAGCCGCCGAGCACGCACCACCGGAGCCAGGCGCCACCGGCCGGCCCCCAAAGCCAGAUCCGGACGGAUCCGGCCCGAGACCGAUCGCGCGCCACCUCCCAAGACGGGAGCACCACAGCCGCCCUGCAGCGCGCAGCCCGAGGAACGCCGNNNNNNNNNNNNNNNNNNNNNNNNNNNNNNNNNNNNNNNNNNNNNNNNNNNNNNNNNNNNNNNNNNNNNNNNNNNNNNNNNNNNNNNNNNNNNNNNNNNNNNNNNNNNNNNNNNNNNNNNNNNNNNNNNNNNNNNNNNNNNNNNNNNNNNNNNNNNNNNNNNNNNNNNNNNNNNNNNNNNNNNNNNNNNNNNNNNNNNNNNNNNNNNNNNNNNNNNNNNNNNNNNNNNNNNNNNNNNNNNNNNNNNNNNNNNNNNNNNNNNNNNNNNNNNNNNNNNNNNNNNNNNNNNNNNNNNNNNNNNNNNNNNNNNNNNNNNNNNNNNNNNNNNNNNNNNNNNNNNNNNNNNNNNNNNNNNNNNNNNNNNNNNNNNNNNNNNNNNNNNNNNNNNNNNNNNNNNNNNNNNGCCGGCGGCGGCGGGGGAGGUAGCGGGGUCGCCGGCGGCGGCGGGGAGGGAACCCUAGGGAGGGGAGCGGGGGAGGGUUCCCGGUUUGUUCCCACAUCCCCAUUAUAUAAGGGGCUUUUCUGCACUUUACCAGAUCUGUAUAUGUACUGGCCAAUGGCCCUCAGUAAAGCUAGUUGCUGUUUAUCCAACAUGGUAUCAGAUGUUAGGUUCCCCUCUCUCCCGCACGCUGCAACUCCGUGCUAGCUCUUCUCCCGACCCAUCCACUCUCAGAUUCGGCUCUCCUCGCCGCGGAUCCGUCCGUCCCGGCUCUCCUCGCCGCGGAUCCGGACGCCCCGGUCCUCCUCGCUGGCUCCGCUGCCCUACCGGGCCGCCCCUUGCCCCUUCUCUGCUCCGCUUGGCGGCUUCGCUCGGGGCGCCUGCUGCUGCUCCCGCCGCGGAAGCAACUGCUUCCCUACGUGCAGGGCGCGAGCGCGCGCGGCCGCUGGUUGUUCGAGCCGCUGGUCCGGCUUUCCUCGCCUGCACGCGGACGGGCCACGCAACUCGGACCCGCUGUGCCUCGCCUCGUGAGGUUUGCGUCGCUCCCGACCCCCGCUCGUUGACUUCCUCCUCGUGAGCAGUUCGGGCCUCCCUAGUCCGGAUUCCGUUCGGGCCUCCUGAGUUCCAAAAAAAAUCCGGAGAAAGGCAGAAGAAGCAAAUCAGCAUGUCUUCGUCUGGAUAUGUGGCUGUUCCUCGGUGAUCGGUGAUCUUUGAUGGCACCAAUUAUGCUGAGUUCGUGGGUUUCAUGCGUAUCCACAUGCGCGGACUUCUGCUGUGGGGUGUUCUCUCUGGCGAGGUCUCGUGUCCGCCAUGCCCUAUUGCUCCAGUGGCUCCUAUUCCGCCGGUACCGCCGGUGCUUACUGCUGAUGCUUCUCAGGCUGAUCGGGAUGCAGCCAAGGCUCUUGAUGCUGCUGCAGUCAAUGCUUAUGAUCAGCAGGUCUCCGCCUAUUCUCAUGCUCUUUCUGCCUACCGGGAUGAUCUGUCUGCUUACACUCAGUGGUGCAAUGAUGAUGCUCGGGCUGCUGCUGUUCUCACUGCGAGUGUUCUCCCUCAGUUUGCUUCGGAGUUCAUGGGCUUCGGCACUGUUGCAGAGAUGUGGUCCUAUCUUUGUCAGCGCUAUCAGCCCUCUGGCGACGCUCUAUACCUCUCUGUAGUGCGUCAGGAGCAUGCUCUUCGUUGAUGAGUUCUACUCUCAAUGCUCUGCCAUCUGGCGUCAGCUUGACUCACUGCGGACAGUUGUUUGUGGCACUUGCCGUUGUUGCCAGACUACGAGGUCUGACUUGGAUUUUCAGAGGGUUCAUGAGUUCUUAUCUCGCCUCUGGUCUGAGUUUGAGCCUCGCCGUGCUCACUUGCUCGCUCGUGGUCGUGUUCCUAUUUCGGAGGUGCUUGCAGAGCUUCGUGCUGAGGAGACACGCCUCCAGUCUGCUGGUCUGCUUGUGGUUCCUACUGUUCUUGCUGCCCGUGCUCCCGUGUCUUCUGCUCCACCACUUCUGCCCACACCCUCAAGGGGGGCGGGUUACCCUCCUUCAGGAGAGGGUCGGUCGCGCUCGCACACUUUCUGUGGCUACUGCAACAGGCCAGGUCACCCAGAGUCAGAUUGUCACAAGAAGCACAGAGACUUGAAGCGCUCUUCUUCCAGUGGGGCUCGUGCGCCUUCCUCGACUUCGUCGCUCACUAACUAGGAUAUUAUGCGACUCAAGCGCAUGUUAGCUUCAUCUGGUUCUUCCUCGACGGGUUCCGUUGCCGCUGUGACAGCCACCCCCACUCAGCCACUGUUGGAGCCUACUCAGUCAGGUACAUCCUCGUGGGUUCUGGAUUCUGGAGCUUCUUUUCAUAUGUCUUCUGAUUCUUUUGCUUUAUCUUCUCUUCAACCUCUUGACUUUCCUCUUAAUGUUCUCACUGCCGAUGGCACACCUCUUCCUGUUACUAGUCGAGGCAUCCUCUCUACUCUGUUCUUUUCGGUUCCUAGUGUGUCUCAUGUUCCACGUCUUACCAUGAAUAUUUUUUUCGCUGCCCAACUUACCGAUUCUGGUUGUCGUGUCAUUCUUGAUGCCGACUCUUGUUCUAUUCAGGAUUGCCGCACUCAGGCUCUGGUUGGAGCUGGCCCUCGGCGCCGUGAGUCUGAGGGCCUUUGGGAAGUUGACUGGCUUCGUGCUCCUUCCGCUGCUGCCUCAUAUGCCAGCUCUCAUGCUCUUGCUGCCUCUUUGUCUGCGUCCUUCCAGCAGUGGCAUCAUCGCGUUGGUCACAUCUGUGGUUCUCGCUUGUCUUUUUUAGUUCGUAAGGGCCUCUUCGGGUUUGUAUCUGGAGAUGUUUCCUUACAUUGCAAUGGUUGCAGACUUGGCAAACAGACCCAACUACCUUAUCCUACUAGCGAGUCUGUAUCUCAGCAUCCUUUUGACUUAGUUCAUUCUGAUGUCUGGGGUCCAGCUCCCUUUGAUUCGAAAGGUGGUCAUCGCUACUAUGUUUUGUCUAUUGAUGAUUUCUCUCGUUACACUUGGCUCUAUUUUAUGAAAUCUCGUCGCGAGGUCCUCUCUAUAUACAAACGAUUUUCUGCCAUGGUUCACACCCAGUUUUCCACGCCCAUUCGCACCCUUCGUGCUGACUCCGCUGGUGAGUAUAUCUCCCAGCUGUUGCACGGUUUUCUUGCAGAACAGGGUACUCUUACCCAGUUCUCAUGCCCUGGUGCUCAUGCUUAAAAUGGCGUUGCUGAACGUAAGCAUCGUCAUCUGCUUGAGACGGCUCGUGCGCUGAUGAUUGCCGCUUCUCUUCCACCUCAUUUUUGGGCUGAGACUAUUUCUGCAUCCACCUAUCUCAUCAACAUUCAGCCAUCGACUGCUCUGCAGGGUGGUAUUCCUAUGGAGUGUCUCACUGGUCAAUCUCCUAACUACUCAGCUCUUCGUAUGUUUGGAUGUGUGUGCUAUGUCCUUCUUGCCCCGCGAGAACGCACCAAACUGACUGCUCAGUCGGUUGAGUGCGUUUUCCUUGGCUACAGUGAUGAGCACAAGGGCUAUCGCUGUUGGGACCCUGUUGGUCGCCGCUUGCGCAUCUCGCGUGAUGUGACCUUUGAUGAGUCUCGUUCUUACUACCCACGUCCUUCUUCCUCGAGCUUCUCUGUGGAUGACCUUUCUUUUCUCCUUCUUCCCGAUACACCCGGCUAUGUGCCCCAUGUUUCACCUCCUCCUCAUGCACCUCUCCCUCCUUCUCCUUCACCACCGAACCCAUCUUGCCCCUCCUCCUCCUCCACCUCUCCGCCUUCAUCUCCGGUUCAUCACUCUCUAUCACCGUUUCCUCUUUACUAUACUCGCCGUCCUCGUACUGAGGAUGCUUCCCCUCCCGUGUCUGACGCGCCUUCCACCUCUGGUGCACCUCUCUUCGCGCCUACCCCGGUUCACAACCUCCAUGCUCGGCCUCGCCCUCCGCCUGAUCGCUACUCUCCCGAUCGGUACGGUCUCUCCGUUCUUGCUGAGCCCACCUCCUAUCGGACUGCCAUGACUCAGUCUGAAUGGCAACUUGCGAUGGCCGAAGAGCUUGUGGCUCUUGAGCGCUCUGGCACUUGGGAUCUGGUUCCCCCCCUUCUGGCGUUCGUCCUAUCACCUGCAAGUGGGUCUACAAGGUCAAGACUCGCUCCGAUGGUUCUCUUGAGCGUUACAAAGCUCGUCUUGUGGCUCGUGGUUUCCAGCAGGAGCAGGGACGUGAUUAUGAUGAGACAUUCGCUCCUGUGGCCCACAUGACCACUAUUCGCACUCUCCUUGCUGUAGCUUCUGUUCGUCAGUGGUCUAUCUCUCAACUUGAUGUUCAGAACGCUUUCCUCAAUGGCGAGUUACGUGAGGAGGUUUAUAUGCAGCCACCACCGGGGUACUAUGCUCCCGAUAGCAUGGUCUGUCGACGUCGUCGCUCUCUCUAUGGUCUCAAACAGGCCCCUCGCGCCUGGUUUGAGCGUUUUGCCUCUGUGGUGACUGCCGCUGGUUUCUUGCCCAGUGAUCAUGAUCCAGCGUUGUUUGUCCACACGUCUCCUCGGGGUCGGAAUCUUCUCCUUCUCUAUGUUGAUGACAUGAUCAUCACGGGUGACGACUCUGAGUACAUUGCCUUUGUUAAGGCUCGUCUUCGAGACCAGUUCCUCAUGAGUGAUCUUGGUCCUCUUCGAUAUUUUCUUGGGAUUGAGAUCUCCUCGACCUCUGAUGGCUUCUACAUCUCCCAAAAAAAAUAUAUUCAGGAUCUUCUUGCUCGCGCUGCUCUUGGUGAUGAGCGCACCGUUGUGACUCCUAUGGAGCUCAACGUUCAGCUUCGUGCCUUUGAUGGUGACCCUCUUCCUGAUCCCACUCGCUAUCGUCACCUUGUUGGCAGCCUUGUCUAUCUUGCUGUUACGCGUCCUGACAUCUCCUAUCCUGUCCACAUCCCGAGUCAGUUCGUUUCAGCCCCCACCUCUGUCCACUAUAGUCACCUCCUUCGUGUUCUACGAUAUCUUCGUGGCACGAUCUCUCAGCGCCUUUUCUUUCCCCGCUCCAGCGCUCUUGAGCUCCAGGCCUACUCUGAUGCUACCUGGGCUAGUGAUCCCUCUGAUCGACGCUCGCUGUCUGCUUACUGUGUUUUUCUUGGAGGCUCUCUUAUUGCCUGGAAGACAAAGAAACAGACUGCAGUUUCUCGCUCGAGUACAGAGGCUGAGUUGCAUGCCAUGGCUAUGUUGACGGCUGAGGUGAUCUGGUUACGGUGGUUACUUGAGGAUUUUGGUGUGUCUGCUACUACCUCGAUUCCCCUACUGUCAGAUAGUACCGGUGCUAUUAGUAUUGCGCGUGAUCCGGUGAAGCAUGAGCUCACCAAGCACAUCGGCGUGGAUGCCCACUUUGUGCGUGCUGCUGUCCAGGAUCAGACUCUUGCUCUUCACUAUGUGCCCUCUGAGUUACAGUUGGCUGACUUCUUCACGAAGGCACAAACUCGAGGGCAGCAUACCUUUUUUCUCUCCAAACUCAGUGUUGUUGAUCCACCAUGAGUUUGANNNNNNNNNNNNNNNNNNNNNNNNNNNNNNNNNNNNNNNNNNNNNNNNNNNNNNNNNNNNNNNNNNNNNNNNNNNNNNNNNNNNNNNNNNNNNNNNNNNNNNNNNNNNNNNNNNNNNNNNNNNNNNNNNNNNNNNNNNNNNNNNNNNNNNNNNNNNNNNNNNNNNNNNNNNNNNNNNNNNNNNNNNNNNNNNNNNNNNNNNNNNNNNNNNNNNNNNNNNNNNNNNNNNNNNNNNNNNNNNNNNNNNNNNNNNNNNNNNNNNNNNNNNNNNNNNNNNNNNNNNNNNNNNNNNNNNNNNNNNNNNNNNNNNNNNNNNNNNNNNNNNNNNNNNNNNNNNNNNNNNNNNNNNNNNNNNNNNNNNNNNNNGUUACUUGUGUACAUCCCCAUUAUAUAAGGGGCUUUUCUGCACUUUACUAGAUCUGUAUAUGUACUGGCCAAUGGCCCUCAGUAAAGCUAGUUGCUGUUUAUCUAACAAGAAUAACUUUGCCUUGCCUUUUGCUGUUUUGUUUCGGGUUUUUGCUGGGUUUGUGCUUUGCUCUGUCUUGGAUGCGUGUUUGAGGGAAAAAAGGGGACCCUCUCGUGGGUAUAUGGCAUUAAUUGAUAAAUGGGGAAAUAGCUGGAAUGAUUAUACGAGAUGGCAUUCAUUUUUCUAGCAGGUCACGGUGCUGUAUAACUACUGUAAGAACUAAAGGAGCAGCAGGAGAUAUUUACAACAUUAGGUUAGUAACAAUCAGUGUACUCUACAAGUGGUAGAAGACAGAAUCUAAAUUGCAAUAAAGUUGGCAGAAGUGCUCAGCGAGUUAGCAAGCUCCUGAGUGACCCUCAACUUCAGAAUUUCAAUAUCUGCAGGAAUAUUCUAAUCCAGUCCCUAAUAUCAGCAGGGAUGGCAUGAAAAAAAAGCACACGUUUCUGUUUUUUCCAGAUGUUCCAAGCCGCAGGAAUUGUCCUGUUUUCGGGUGCGUCUAGGUCCUAUAUCACUAGUUUAAAUCAGUAGUUAAGGAGUACCUCUUGCAAAUGUCACUUCCAUAUCCUCUGAUGACAAUGUACGCCAGUUUUGGUGGAAUUUUCUUCCCACCCACGCAGGAGGGAUGGAUGAUUUGUUUGUGCUUUUUUCGACCCGUUUAAAUAAAAUAUCUUGUUAACUGGGCAUCCAAAUUACAAACCGUUCUCACCAUUGCAUUUCUCGCAUUGAUAUCUUUCAAACUAGAUCACAUGUUGAUAAGUUUUAGCAAACUUUUUUCGACCGAAAAUCAUGGUCCCAAUGUGAAUUAACAUGUGCUUCAAACUGACUAACUCGUGAAGCAUGCAUGUACCUUGUAUCAUCAGUGCAGAUUACAAUAAUCCUGUCAUCCACUUCACUGCAGAACUUUGUCUUCAUUCUGAACAAACUGCAACAACACAUGAGUGGCUGAAUAGGAAGCGAACAUGAUCCAUCGUAGGCACGAGACCUUUAUCCGAGGGACACAUUAUUGGGCUCCAUUUGGCAUAAACAUUAUAUUAAAAAGGAACCAUCUGCAGUUGCCCCCCAAAAGUUUUUAGCUAGGUUAGAAUAGCUUUGCCUUGCUUUUUGCCCUCUUUUCACUGGGUCUGUGCUUUGCCUUGUCUUGGAUGUGUGUUUGUGAAAAGAAAGAGGGAACCAUCUGUCGGUAUAUGACAUUAAUUGAUAGCGGGGGGAAUAACUGAACGGCAUCUGGCAGAUACGUGAUUACAUUCAUUUUCUAGUGGGCUAUGGUGUUGUAUAACUGCACUGUAAGCGAAAAAUUGAUAUAGGUCGCACUGUAAGUAUUAAUUGUACUAGAUGUUAUAUGAGAAGGAGAUAUUUCUGCAUUUUGUAGUGGUCUAUGGUGCUGUAUAACUACACAUGUGCUUCACACAACACAUCCAAGCUAUGACGGACAAAAAUUGAAAAAAAGUGGAAAACAAAAAAAUCCCCAAAAAGUUGGAAACCCAGAAACACCAAAACCCCCCAAAAAAACCACCGCAGUGCUAGAAACAAAAAAGUAUGGUGACAUUUUAGAAAAUGUUCCCGCAUUAAAAAAAUAUGUUCUUCAUGCUUUAAGAAAAUAUUUUUUAUAAUGUCAAAACAAUGUUCGUGUAAUUUAGAAAAAAUGUUUUGUACAAUUCAAAAAAAUAAGUCUGUGACACUAAAAAUAGUGUUCAAGCACUUUACAAAUUUUGCACAUUUACAUAAAUUUUCAUGGAAAAAUGUUUAAUGUGUUACACGAAACAUUUACUGCGCAUAUAAAAAAUGUACAAUCUAAAUUUGGCAAAUGUUCAAACAUGUAUUCAGAAAAAUGUUCACCGAUAUUAAAAAAUGUUCAACCUUUAUGUAAAAAUAUUCAAGCUAUAUAAAUGAAAUGUACACCAUGUUUUUCUCAAAAACUCCGACUAUGUGAAAUGAUAAAAUAACGAAAUUAAAUAAAAGUAAAAAAAUAAAAAACAAUGAAAUAAAAAAAUAAAAAAAAUAAAACUAGAAGUAACAACGGAAAAAACAUAAAAGGAUGAAUAACUGUAGAGAAAACACAACCGUGUGGAAGUUUCUAAAAUCAGUUCGCAGCAUUCCAUCGAUGGGCGCAGCUAUGUGCCGCCUGUUGCGAGUCCUACCGAAGCUCACCUACAGGGACCACAUGUUGGGCCUGCCCAGUAACCGCGCGCUAUUUGACGUCAUUUUUUUUUGUUUUUUCUUCCGUUUAUUAUUCUCAUUUUUAUAUCUUAUUUUGCUUUUCUAAAUUCUCUAUAUUUCAUAAUAUUAUACACAUACAUAUAUAUAGAAAAAUACUUCGCAUAGAAUUUGAAAAAAUGUUAAUCAUGCAUUCAAGUUUUUUUAAACGUGCAUAGAAAACUGCUAAUCAUUUGUAUGAUUUGUUUUUGUGAAAUCAAUAAAAUAUAAGACGUUUAAAAAUAUCUACAUGCAGUAAAACAUUUCGCAUAAUUCUAAAAAAUGUAAGUUACAUUUGAAGAAUAUGUUCACAAGUUUCAAAAAUAUGUUUGUAACAUUUUCGUAGAAGUGUGUAUGUAACCUUAAAAAAUGUUUAGUACCAUUAAAGAAUGUACAUGAAAUUUGUCUUCAUCGUGAACAAACUGCAACAACACCUGAGUGGCUGAGUAGGAAGCGAGCAUGAUCCAACAUAUACACGAGACCUUUAUCCUGGGGACACAUUAUUGGGCCCCAUUUGCAAUAAACAUUAUUUUAAAAAGGGAACCAUCUGCACUUGCCCUCAAAAGUUGACUAGAUGUUAUAUGGGAAGAAGAUAUUUCUGCAUUAUGAUCCAGUAGAAGACUGUCAUUAAACAACACAAGAUGCGAAGAAUUAAUUCAUAGUUAUGAGGAUAGAUAAGGGACAACCGGGUCUGGCUGUGGAUGCGCACUAUGGGAAAAAUGGAAAACAAAGUUUAUGGUUAAAAAAAUUGGGAAACUUCAUUACUUCUUUUCUUGCUAUGAGAAUCCAAGCUAAGCAAAAACUCGCAUGAUAAACAAAUGGCAGAGAUAUAGUGUUUGAAGUUGAUAUGCUAGUGCAUGUUGGCCUUCUUGGAGAACAACACAAAGUGGAUGUUGGGCAACACACCACUGUGGGCGAUGGUGAUGCCGUCAAGCAGCUUAGAGAGCUCCUCGUCGUUGCGAGUGUUGAGAAGAAGGUGGCGCGGCAUGAUGCGGGUCUUCUUGUUGUCCUUGGCCGCAUUGCCCGCCAACUCCAGCAUCUGUGGUUUAAAGAGAACACCAAAACAAGAUUAGUUACCACUUUGUUGAGCAUGGAAAGAACUGGAAUGUACGAGGUCGGUCAUUGGUUGGUUACCUCAGCGGCAAGGUAUUUGAGGACGGCAGCGAGGUAGACGAGGGCGACAGGGAUGACGCGGUCUGCCUAGUGGCCCUUCUUGAGAUAGCGCCCGAUGCGUCAGACGAGAAACUCGAGUCCAGCCUUCGUGGACCAGGUCACCGCCUUCUUCCGCUCGCCACUCUUCCUCCCGACUUUCUCCCCUCCUUCUCCGGCGAACUUGAGUCUCUCAAAAUAUGCGUGGUGGCGCUGAUGGACGUGAAUACGAAGGCAUCACUAUUAUAGGGGGCGGGGGUGCUCCGCAGUAAGGCGCACAAUUCGCAUGACAUGCGAUCGCUAUCAUUGGAUCUGGGAGGGCGGGUGGCAGGGAUCGAUUCGGAGGGGCACGAUCCGUGGGAGGGGGUGUGAUUCCUGUGACCAGCAUUCUCCACCGUCGGUUCUGGUAGGUCCAAGCGGCUAGGAUCGGCUCGACUGGUGCGAUCCGUGUCACCAGCAGUCUUUGCCGUUGGAUCUGGAAGAUUCAAGUGGCUACGAUUAGCUCGGGGGCAUGAUCGCUUCGUUUCGUUUUUUCCCUUAAUGUGGGAAAUGAAUUCGGAAAUUGGGGAGGAGGGGAGGUUAGACUCUUUCUCACACCGAAGUUUUUUCUGUUUUGUUAUUUUUGGCAAUUCCUUUUUUGUUUUUGGUAUGAUUGACCGGAAAAAUCCAAGCAUUUUUCGCACCAAUGAAGAAAUUCGAGCAUAUCAUGAAGCACUCAACAAGAAAAGGCAUCCCGUGAAGAAGGACAAGGUCCUAAAAUACAUAAGCAUCUAGGGGUGACUACAAGAAGAUCAAUAAGAACGAUUUUGUUUCCAUGCGCAUUGCCAAUCCAUAUACUGAAGAAAUGAAUGAAAAAGUAAAUCCUCACUUUUGGAAUAUGAUGCAAUAGAAAGUUUAUUAUGAGCCGAUGGAAGGACACUAGACUAAAAUUGAUGAUCAAAAGUGUGUCAACCCCCGCAGAAGCAUAGCUUCUAAAGUAAACUAACUUGUGCUACCUUUGUAAUGAAGCAUUUUCUCGCAGUGUGAGGCACACAUGUGCUCCAUCCAAAAGCACAACACAACCAUGCUCCACAUGAAGCACACCCGUGCUCCAUACAACACACCUGAGGUCCGACGGACGAAAAUUGAAAGAAACUAGAAUACAAAAAUAUCCCCAAAAAUUUGAAAACCGACAAAAAGCAAAAAAAAGAAAAAACACGCCCCAGAGCGAGAAAGAAAAAAAUGUUCGUGACACUUUGAAGAAAGUUCCUGCAUUUAAAAAAAGUUCGUCAUGCUUUACUAAAAUAUUUCCAUAAUGUCAACAUAAUGUUCGUGUAAUUUAUACAAAUGUUUUGUACAAUUUGAGAAGAAUAUCUAGGCGAUUAAAAAUGGUGUUCAAGCACUUUUAAUGUUUGCACAUUUACAAAAUGUUUAAUGUGUUACAAGAAAAGUUUACUGUAUAUUAAAACAUGUACAAUGUAAAGUUGGUAAAUGUUCAAACAUGUAUUCAGAAAAAUGUUCACCAUCUUUUAAAAAAUGUUCAACCUUUAUCAAAAAAUGUUCAACCUAUAUAAAUAAAAUGUACACCGUGUUUUUUUAUAAAAUCUGACUAUAAAAAUGAGAAAAUGAUAAAGAGGAAAUAAAUAAAAAAUCAGAAAUAUAAACCAAUGAAAUACCAAAAGGAAAAACGAAAGAAAACUAAAAGUAACAUCAGAUAAAAAAAAAAAAGAUGAAAAACUAUAGAGAAAACUCAACUGCGUGGAGGUUCUAAAACUAGUUUGCAGCAUUUCAUCGACGGGCAUGGCUAUGUGCCAUCUAUUGCGAGUCCUACCGAAUCUCUCACCUCAGGGUGCACGUGUUGGGCCAUCCCAGUAACCGCGCGCUAUUUGAGGUCAUGUUUUUUUCGUUCCGUUUAUUAUUUGCAUUAUAUUUUUUUUGCUGUUCUAAUUCAUUUAUAUUUCAUAAUAUUCUACACACGUAUAUAUAGAAAAAUACUUUAUGUAGAAUUUAAAAAUAUUAAUUAUGCAUUCUAUUUUUUAAACAUGUAUAGAAAAUGGCAAAUCAUGUGUAUGAUUUUUUUGUGAAAUUUAUAAAAUAUCAGACGUUUAAAUAAAUCUACAUGCAUUAAAACAUUUUGCAUAAUUCUAAAAAAUAUAAGUUACUUUUAUAGAAAAGGUUCACAGGUUUCAAAAGUGUGUUUAUGACAUUUUCAUAAAAGUAUAUACGUAAUGUUAAAAAAAUGUUUAUUACCAUUAAAAAAUGUACAUGAAAUUUGUCUUCAUUCUAAACAAACUGCAACAACACCCGAGUGGCUGAGUAGGAAGCAAACUGAUCCAUCAUAGGCACAAGACCUUUAUGCGAGGGAAACAUUAUUGGGCUCCAUUUGGCAUAAACAUUAUUUUUAAAAAGGGAACCAUCUGUAGUUGCCCUCCCAAAAGUUUUUACCUAGGUUAGAAUAGCUUUGCCUUGCUUUUUGUCCUAUUUUCACUGGGUUUGUGAUUUGCCUUGUCUUGGGUGUGUGUUUGUGAAAAGAAAGAGGGAACCAUCUGUCGGCAUAUGGCUUUAAUUGAUAGCGGGGGGAAUAACUGGAAUGAGUAUGCUUAUGGCAUCUGGCGUAUACAUGAUUACAUUCAUUUUGUAGCAGGCUAUGGUGCUGAAUAACUGCACUGUAAGCGAAAAUUAGAUAUGGGUCACACUGUAAGUAUUAGUUGUACUAGAUGUUGUAUGGGAAGUAGAAAUUUCAGCAUUAUGAUCCCAUAGAAGACUGUCAUUACACAACACAAAAUGCGAAGAAUUAAUUCGUAGUUAUGAGGAUAGAUAAGGGACAACCGGAUCUGCCUGCAGAUGCACAUUAUUUGGAAAAUGGAAAACAAAGGUUAUGUUUAGAAAAAAAGGGAAACAUCAUUACUUCUUUUCUUGGUAUGAGAAUCCAAGCUAAGCAAAAACUUGGAAGGUAAACCAAAAUGACAGGAAUAUAUUAUUGUUUGAUUCUGUUUGAAGUUGAUAUGCUAGUGCAUAUUGACCUUCUUGGAGGACAACAUAGAGUGGAUGUUGGGCAACACACCACUAUGGGCGAUGGUGAUGCCGUCAAGCAGCUUGGAGUGCUCCUCGUCGUUGUGAGUGGCGAGAAGUAGGUGGCCUGACAUGAUGCGGGUCUUCGUGUUGUCUUGGCCACAUUGCCCGCGAACUCUAGCAUCUAAGGUUUAAAGAGAACACCAAGACGAGAUCAGUUACCACUCUGUUGAGCAUGAAAAGAAUAGGAAUGUACAAGAUUGGGUCGUUGGUUUGUUACCUCGGCGGCAAGGUAUUCGAGGAAGGUGGCGAGUUGGACGAGGGUGUUGGGGCCGACAUGGUUCAUGUAGCGACUCUUCUUGAGAUAGCGCGUGAUGCAGCCGACGAGAAACUGGAGUCCAACCUUCAUGGAGCGAGUCACCACCUUCUUCCGCUCGCCGCUCUUCCUCCCGGCCAUUUCCCCUCCAUCUCUAGCGAAUUUGAAUCUCUCGAAAUGUGGGUGGCGGCACUAAUGGAUGUGAACGCGAUGGCACCGCUGUUAUAGCGAAGGGAGAGGGGGGUGGGGGUACUCCACAGUAAGGGGCGCGAUUCACAUGACGUGCGGUCACCACCGUUGGAUCUGGGAGGGCGGGCGAUUGGGAUCGACACGGAGGGCACGAUCCCUGGGAGGGAGUGUGAUCCGUGUGACCAGCGUUCUCCACCCUUGGACCUGUAAAGUGCAAGCGGCUAGGGUCGGGUCGGCUGGUGUAAUCCGUGUUACCAACGGUCUUUGCCAUUGGAUCUGGAAGAUUGGCUACGAUUAGUUGGUGCGUGAUCAGACGGACCAAUCUGGAUUUGAGAAUCUUCUGUCCUCAUUUCGUUUCAUUUUUCCCUUUAAUGUGGGAGCUGAUUUUGGAAAUUGAGGAGAGAGGAGGUUAGACUCUUUUUCACACCGAAGAUUUUUCUGUUUUGUCUUUUUGGCAAUCCCUUUUAGUUUUUGGUAUGAUGACUGGAAAAAAUCCAAGAAUUUCUUGCACCAAUCAAGAAAUUCUAGCAUGUCAUGAUGCACUCAACAAGAAAAGACAUCAUGUGAAGAAGAUAAGGAAGGACAAGGUCCCAAAAUACAUAAGCAUCUAGGGGUGACUACAAGGAGGUCAAUAAGAAUGAUUUUGUUUCCAUGUGCAUUGCCAAUCCAUAUACCAAAGAAAGUAAUUAAAAAGUAGAUCCUUACUUUUGGAAUAGGAUGCAAUAGAAAUUUUAUCAUGAGGUGAUGGAAGCACACCAGAUUAAAAUUUAUGACCAAAAGUGAGUCAACCCCCGCAAAAGACAACAAUACUUCUCAAGUAAGCUAACUUGUGCUUUCCUUGCAAUGAGGCAUAAAUGUGGUUUCCUUGCAGUGAGGCACACAUAUGUCCCAUCCGAAAGCACAACACACAUGCUCCACAUGAAGCACACAUCUACUCCACACAACACAAUCGAGCUUUGUCGGACGAAAAUCGGAAGAAACUGGAAAACAAAAGAUCCCGAAAAAAUUGGAAACCGAGAAACACCAAAAAACCAGGAAAAAAAGCCCCCGUGCAAGAAACAAAAAAUGUUCCCACAUUAAAAAAAUAUGUUCGUCAUGCUUGAUGAAAAUAUUUUUUAUAAUGUAAAAAUAAUAUUUCGAGUAAUUUAGAAAAAUGUUUCAUACAAUUCAAAAUAAUAAUAUCUGUGACAUUAAAAACAAUGUUGAAGCACUUUUCAAUUGUUUGCACGUUUACAAAAAUGUUCAUGGAAGAAUCUUAAAUAUGUUACAAGAAAAGUUUACUCUGCAUAUAAAAACAUGUACAAUGUAAAUUUGGCAAAUGUUCAAAGAUGUAUUCAGAAAAAUGUUCACCGUCUAUUAAAAAAUGUUCAACCUAUAUAAAUAAAAUGUAGACCACUUUUAUCUUAAAAGAUCCAAGUACAAAAAAUGAGAAAAUAACAAAGAGGAAAUAAAAUAAAAAUAAAAAUAGAAACCAAUGAAAAGUGAAAAUGAAAAACGAAAGAAAACUAUAAGAAACAACAGAAAAAAUAUAAAAAGGAUGAAAAACUGUAGAGAAAACAGAACCACGUGGAAGGUUCUAAAACCAGUUUGCACCAUUCCAUUGACGGGCACGGCCAUGUGCCGCCUGUGUACAGGGAGCAUGUGUUCGGCCUGCCCAGUAACCGCAUGCUAUUUGACGUCAUGUUUUUUCUUCCGUUUAUUAUUCACAUUUCUAUUUUUUUCUUUUCUAAUUUCUUUAUAUUUCAUAAUAUCUACACACAUAUAUAGAAAAAUACUUUGCACAGAAUUUAGAAAAAUCUUAAUCAUGCAUUCUAUUUUUUUAAAAUGUGUAUAGAAAAAUGCCAAUCAUGUGUAUGUUUUUUUUGUAAAAUUAAUAAAAUAUCAGACAUUUGAAAAAAAUCUACAUGCAUUAAAACAUUUUGCAUAAUUCCAAAAAAUGUAAAUUACAUUUAUACAAAAUGCUCACAUAUUUCAAAAAUGUGUUUGUGACAUUUUCAUAAAAAAUUAUACGUAAUGUUAAAAUGUGUUUAGUAUCAUUAAAAAAUGUACAUGAAAUCUGUCUUCGUUCCGAACAAACUGCAACAACACCUGAGUGGAUGAGUAGGAAGCGAACAUGAUCCAUUAUAGGCACGAGACCUUUAUCCGAGGGACACAAUACUGGGCUCCAUUGGCAUAAACAUUAUUUAAAAAAGGGAACCAUCUGCGGUUGCCCCCCACGAGUUUUUAGCUAGGUUAGAAUAGCUUUGCCUUGCUUUUUGCCCUGUUUUCACCGGGUCGGUGCUUUGCCUUGUCUUGGAUGUGUUUUUGUGAAAAGAAAGAGGGAACCAUUUGUCGGCAUAUGACAUUAAUUGAUAGCGGGGGAAUAACUGGAAUGAAUAUGCUUAUGGCAUCUGGCAGAUACGUGAUUACAUUCAUUUUAUAGUGGGCUAUGGUGCUGUAUAAUUACACUGUAAGCGAAAAUUUGAUAUGGGUCGCACUGUAAGUAUUAAUUGUACUUGAUGUUAUAUGGGAAGGGGAUAUUUCUCCAUUAUGAUCCAGUAGAAGACUGUCAUUACACAACACAAGAUGCGAAGAAUUAAUCCGUAGUUAUGAGGAUAGAUAAGGGACAACCGGGUCUGCCUGCAGACGCCCGUUAUGCAAAAAAUGGAAAACAAAGGUUAUGUUUAGGAAAAUUAUAAUCAAAAACGUCAUUACUUCCUUUCUUGGUAUGAGAAUCCAAGCUAAGCAAAAACUGGUAAGGGAAACAAAUGGCAGAGAUAUAUUAUUCUUUGAUUAUGUUUGAAGUUGACAUGCUAGUGCAUGUUGGUCUUCUAGAGAACAACGCAGAGUGGAUGUUUGGCAAGAAGCCACUGUGGGCGAUGGUGAUGCCAUCAAUCAGCUUGGAGAGCUCCCCGUCGUUGCGAGUGGCGAGAAGCAGGUGGGGCGGCAUGAUGCCGCUCUUCCUUGUUGUCCUUGGCUGCAUUGCAUGCCAACUCUAGCAUCUGUGGUUUAAAGAGAACACCGAGACGAGAUCAGUUACCACUCUGUUGAGCAUUAAAGAACUGGAAUGUAGAAGAUUGGUUGGUGGUUGGUUACCUCGGCGACAAGGUAUUCGAGGAAGGUGGUGAGGUAGAUGAGGGCACCGGGGCCGACGCGGUCCAUGUAGCGUCCCUUCUUGAGAUAGCUCCCGAUUAGAAACUGGAGUCCAACCUUUGUGGACCGUGUCACCGCCUUCUUUCGCUCACCGCUCUUCCUCCUGUCCAUCUCCCUCCUUCUCUGGCGAACCUGAAUCUCUCGAAAUGUGGGUGGCGGAGUUGAUGGAUAUGAACGCGAGGGCACCACAGUUAUAGCGAAGGUGUGUNNNNNNNNNNNNNNNNNNNNNNNNNNNNNNNNNNNNNNNNNNNNNNNNNNNNNNNNNNNNNNNNNNNNNNNNNNNNNNNNNNNNNNNNNNNNNNNNNNNNNNNNNNNNNNNNNNNNNNNNNNNNNNNNNNNNNNNNNNNNNNNNNNNNNNNNNNNNNNNNNNNNNNNNNNNNNNNNNNNNNNNNNNNNNNNNNNNNNNNNNNNNNNNNNNNNNNNNNNNNNNNNNNNNNNNNNNNNNNNNNNNNNNNNNNNNNNNNNNNNNNNNNNNNNNNNNNNNNNNNNNNNNNNNNNNNNNNNNNNNNNNNNNNNNNNNNNNNNNNNNNNNNNNNNNNNNNNNNNNNNNNNNNNNNNNNNNNNNNNNNNNNNNNNNNNNNNNNNNNNNNNNNNNNNNNNNNNNNNNNNNNNNNNNNNNAAGCGGCUAGGAUCAGGUUGGCUGGUGCGAUCCGUGUUAGCAGCGGUCUUUGCCGUUGGAUCUGGAAGAUUCAAGUGGCUACGAUUAGCUUGGGUAGAUCUGUAGGAGGACCGGAUGGACCAAUGAGGAUUUGAGAAUCUUCUGUCCUCGCUUCGUUUUGCUUUUUUACUUCAAUGUGGGAAAUGAAUUUGGAAAUUGGGGAGGGGGGAGGGGAGGUUAGACUCUUUUUCACACCGAAGAUUUUUUUUGUGUGUGUGGUUAUUUUGGCAAUCCCCUUUUGUUUUUGGUAUGCUUGACUGGAGAAAAUCCAAGAAUUUAUUGCACCAAUCAAGAAAUUCAAGCAUGUCAUGAAGUAGUCAACAAGAAAAGGCAUUGAGUGAAGAAGAUCAAGAAGGACAUGGUCCCAAAAUACAUAAGCAUCUAGGGGUGACUACAAGGAGGUCAAUAAGAACGAUUUUGUUUCCACGUGCACUGCCAAUCCAUAUACCGAAGAAAGGAAUGAAAAAGUAGAUCCUCACUUUUGGAAUAGGAUGCAAUAGAAAGUUUAUCAUGAGGUGAUGGAAGCACAUCAGACUAAAAUUUAUGACCAUAAGUGUGUCAACCCCCGCAGAAGCAUAACUAUGCUUCUCAAGUAAGCUAACAUGUGCUUCUCUUGCAAUGAAGCAUAACUGGGGUUUCUUCGCAGAGUGAGGCACCAUGUGCCCCAUCAGAAAACACAACACACCCAUGCUUCACAUGAAGCACACAUAUGCUCCACACAACACACCCAAGCUUUGACUGACGAAAAUUGGCAGAAACUGGGAAACAAAAAAUCCCGGAAAAAUAGAAAACCGAGAAAACCCAAAAACCAGACAAAAAAAACCCACCCUAGUGCAAGAAACAAAAAAAAAA